rnacentral:rRNA from 1 species
CGCGACCCCAGGUCAGGCGGGAAC